rnacentral:tRNA from 1 species
GAGGUAUUAGUAUAUUGAGUAUUUCUCUUUUUCGAAGAGUAGGAUUUUAUACCUUA